UAUGAAUUAUGCCAUUCAAUUUUCCAAAGUACAAAAUAUUAUUGGGAAAUUAUUUACCCCAUUCAUUAACAAUGUAUUUUAAAACAUUGAUUCGAAAAUGCUUAUCUACAUUAUGGGCUCAAGUAUAUGAACAUAUGACUACUAUAGAUACUAACUUAAGUGAAUCUCUAAUAAGAGUUAAUGAAAUCUCAUUCCCCAAUCCCCACAAUGUAAAUAUGUUGUUGAUUGAUGUUAAAAUUUAUAUAUAAUAACGUGUAUAACUGUUGGUAUCUUUCCACAUACAUUCUUUGGCGAUCGAUCUUCUCUUAGCCUUCUACUUUCAGAAUUGACUGCUUACUAUGUUGGUCAGUUGUUGGCAAUCGAUGAACACAGAAUUGCAGUUCAAGGCUUUGUGUGGAGUAUCAAUUCGUUUGACCAGUGGAGAGUUGAUCUAGGAACAGUUUUAUCUUCAGCUCUUCAUCUUCCUCUGAAUCUAAAAGUAGCUGCUGAAGCUGAGAAUUUACUAACAAAGUCUAUGUCCACUCUAGACACUUUUUGGCUUAAGGAAUGCCAAGUUCUCUUGCUCGGAAACAACAAACCAAACAAUUAUAGCUGAUAUGAGCCUUUUGUGAGAAUUUUAUCAUUGAGCUUAUCAAAGGAUAAAUUAGAUUUA